rnacentral:tRNA from 1 species
GGUGGCUCAGUGGCAGAGCGCUUGCCUAGCAUGCAUGAAGCCUGGGUUCCAUUCCUCAGCACCA